rnacentral:rRNA from 1 species
ACACAUGCAAGUCGAACGAACCCUUCGGGGUUAGUGGCGCACGGGUGCGUAACACGUGGGAAUCUGCCUCUUGGUUCGGAAUAACAGUGAGAAAUUACUGCUAAUACCGGAUGAUGACUUCGGUCCAAAGAUUUAUCGCCAAGAGAUGAGCCCGCGCAGGAUUAGGUAGUUGGUGGGGUAAAGGCCUACCAAGCCGACGAUCCUUAGCUGGUCUGAGAGGAUGAUCAGCCACACUGGGACUGAGACACGGCCCAGACUCCUACGGGAGGCAGCAGUGGGGAAUAUUGGACAAUGGGCGAAAGCCUGAUCCAGCAAUGCCGCGUGAGUGAUGAAGGCCUUAGGGUUGUAAAGCUCUUUUACCAGGGAUGAUAAUGACAGUACCUGGAGAAUAAGCUCCGGCUAACUCCGUGCCAGCAGCCGCGGUAAUACGGAGGGAGCUAGCGUUGUUCGGAAUUACUGGGCGUAAAGCGCGCGUAGGCGGUUACUCAAGUCAGAGGUGAAAGCCCGGAGCUCAACUCCGGAACUGCCUUUGAAACUAGGUGACUAGAAUCUUGGAGAGGUCAGUGGAAUUCCGAGUGUAGAGGUGAAAUUCGUAGAUAUUCGGAAGAACACCAGUGGCGAAGGCGACUGACUGGACAAGUAUUGACGCUGAGGUGCGAAAGUGUGGGGAGCAAACAGGAUUAGAUACCCUGGUAGUCCACACCGUAAACGAUGAUAACUAGCUGUCCGGGUUCUUGGAAUUUGGGUGGCGCAGCUAACGCAUUAAGUUAUCCGCCUGGGGGAGUACGGUCGCAAGAUUA